rnacentral:rRNA from 1 species
GGGAAGAGCCCAAACCAACAAGCUUGCUUGUUGGGGUUGUAGGACACUCUAUACGGAGUUACAAAGGACGACAUUAGACGAAUCAUCUGGAAAGAUGAAUCAAAGAAGGUAAUAAUCCUGUAGUCGAAAAUGUUGUCUCUCUUGAGUGGAUCCUGAGUACGACGGAGCACGUGAAAUUCCGUCGGAAUCUGGGAGGACCAUCUCCUAAGGCUAAAUACUCUCUAGUGACCGAUAGUGAACCAGUACCGUGAGGGAAAGGUGAAAAGCACCCCGGAAGGGGAGUGAAAUAGAACCUGAAACCGUGUGCUUACAAGUAGUCAGAGCCCGUUAAUGGGUGAUGGCGUGCCUUUUGUAGAAUGAACCGGCGAGUUACGAUUUGAUGCAAGGUUAAGCAGUAAAUGUGGAGCCGUAGCGAAAGCGAGUCUGAAUAGGGCGUUUAGUAUUUGGUCGUAGACCCGAAACCAGGUGAUCUACCCUUGGUCAGGUUGAAGUUCAGGUAACACUGAAUGGAGGACCGAACCGACUUACGUUGAAAAGUGAGCGGAUGAACUGAGGGUAGCGGAGAAAUUCCAAUCGAACCUGGAGAUAGCUGGUUCUCUCCGAAAUAGCUUUAGGGCUAGCCUCAAGUGAUGAUUAUUGGAGGUAGAGCACUGUUUGGACGAGGGGCCCCUCUCGGGUUACCGAAUUCAGACAAACUCCGAAUGCCAAUUAAUUUAACUUGGGAGUCAGAACAUGGGUGAUAAGGUCCGUGUUCGAAAGGGAAACAGCCCAGACCACCAGCUAAGGUCCCAAAAUAUAUGUUAAGUGGAAAAGGAUGUGGCGUUGCCCAGACAACUAGGAUGUUGGCUUAGAAGCAGCCAUCAUUUAAAGAGUGCGUAAUAGCUCACUAGUCGAGUGACACUGCGCCGAAAAUGUACCGGGGCUAAACAUAUUACCGAAGCUGUGGAUUGUCCUUUGGACAAUGGUAGGAGAGCGUUCUAAGGGCGUUGAAGCAUGAUCGUAAGGACAUGUGGAGCGCUUAGAAGUGAGAAUGCCGGUGUGAGUCGCGAAAGACGGGUGAGAAUCCCGUCCACCGAUUGACUAAGGUUUCCAGAGGAAGGCUCGUCCGCUCUGGGUUAGUCGGGUCCUAAGCUGAGGCCGACAGGCGUAGGCGAUGGAUAACAGGUUGAUAUUCCUGUACCACCUAUAAUCGUUUUAAUCGAUGGGGGGACGCAGUAGGAUAGGCGAAGCGUGCGAUUGGAUUGCACGUCUAAGCAGUAAGGCUGAGUAUUAGGCAAAUCCGGUACUCGUUAAGGCUGAGCUGUGAUGGGGAGAAGACAUU